GACGAACGCUGGCGGCGUGCCUAAUACAUGCAAGUAGAACGCUGAAGAAAGGAGCUUGCUUCUUUUGGAUGAGUUGCGAACGGGUGAGUAACGCGUAGGUAACCUGCCGUGUAGCGGGGGAUAACUAUUGGAAACGAUAGCUAAUACCGCAUAACAGCUUUUGACACAUGUUAGAAGCUUGAAAGAUGCAAUUGCAUCACUACGAGAUGGACCUGCGUUGUAUUAGCUAGUAGGUAGGGUAACGGCCUACCUAGGCGACGAUACAUAGCCGACCUGAGGGGGUGAUCGGACAGACUUGGACUGAGACACGGCCCAGACUACUACGGGAGGCAGCAGUAGGGAAGCUUCGGCAAUGGGGGCAACCCUGACCGAGCAACGCCGCGUGAGUGAAGAAGGUUUUCGGAUCGUAAAGCUCUGUUGUAAGAGAAGAACGUGUGUGAGAGUGGAAAGUUCACACAGUGACGGUAACUUACCAGAAAGGGACGGCUAACUACGUGCCAGCCGCCGCGGUAAGAC
rnacentral:rRNA from 1 species